AUAGAGUCCCCUGUGCUGCCUGGGAACUGUCCACCCUAUGGAGGUCCACAGCUGCUCCCGGACAUUCCACGAGAUGCAUGCUCUCAUCUUCUGGGAACAGAAGGGGCAUUUGUUCCCUGAGCCCACUCUGGAGGGACAGCUGAGUCCCCAGUCCAGCCAGAUAUUCGCAUCGAUGCGCAGUGGUUCGUGCACAUCUGAUUGGCUGCCAGCUGUCCUAAGCGAUUGCCAGACAUACUCAGGUUUGUUUGCAAGACACAUCAGCUCUGCCUGCGUUUAGGCUGCUAACCACAACUGUCAAAGUCUACAAAAGAAACAAAACCUUCAGGCAAGCCGAAUCUCGGUUCAGUGCAUGUUUUGUUUUCUGCUAUGUUUAUUUCAAAUUAAUAUCACAGAUAGAGCCCACAGCUUAAUAGCACAUCUGCCUGAGGUUUGCAUAGCAAUUCACAAUAUGUUUUUAUUUCUUUAAUUAUGGCUUAGAAUCCUUUUGACACUCUCUCAUGUAACAGGUGGUUUUUCUGACCAUGAUAAAUGCUAAAUGCUGUGGAGGGUAAGACUGUUAGGCGCUGGCUGUUUUCUUAGCUGUGGUUACACCUAGGCCCCGGGCAGCUUCUGACUUAGCAGCUUGCAAUAGAUUGGAAUUCCUGGGGGACUUCACUUAACCCUUAGUUCCCUAAAACCUGUUUUCAAUGCACCGUUGGGUGGGGCGUCUCAUUAUACCCAGCUGCUUGGCAGAUGUACUUUUUGUAUCCUGGAAGGUGGAAGUGGGGUUGAGGGUAGGUCAAAAAGUUAAUAUGUCAACGCUCUGAGGGUGAUGGGAGGAGAAACUUGGUGAUAUUAAAGGUGAUUUGAAUUUAGAUUUUUUGGAAGAAUAAAAGCAUUCUUUUAUAUAUCUGCAA
rnacentral:lncRNA from 1 species